AGCACCAGGAACAGCCACAGCCAUCCUUGCAGAGAGAAUGUACCUCCAUUCCAGGGGCUGGCAGCUGAACUGCCGUGUGGACAGCUGGGAGAAGCGUCGUCUCCUCCCUGGGAUGUAGUUCAAAUCAGCUCUGCUGCAGUUCUCCCAGAGUGAGCACAGCUGCUGUGUCCAGGGCCCUGGGUACAGAGCUUUCAAACUGCACUGCAUGGGCCUCUUUCCAUCAAAACUGGCAUGUAGAGUCCAGGUGGCUCCCAGAAGCCCCCCACCCAGUCAUCGGUGCUCCCAGAAAAGCCCUUAUUUCACAGUCUGAAGGGUCCCUUGCAGCCUGCGAUAAAAGUAAGAAGAAGCCAAGCACACCUGCAACUCCAGCACUUGGGAGCACUGAGGCAAGAGAAGCCCUUGAGGCCAGCCGGGGCUACAUGACGAGGCUGUCUCCCAUGCCUCAGCUUCCCUGCUGUACAUGGGAACUAACGAUACAGCCGCCAUGGAUUAGUCUGAGAAGUAUCCGGUUCAUCACAAGGCACUGAACAUCACCUAGUACCAGUGGAUAUGGCCAAGCCACAGAAGUGCCACAGUUCUACAAAUAGUGGCUCUGGAGGAGUUGGGUCAGGAUUUCAACCCAGGCAUUCUGAUUCCAGAGGCUGCUGAUCUUUUGAACCACCACCACCACCAUCUCUCCCUGCUUCCAGCUCACCAGAACUGAGCCACUAGAACAAGGACAGGAAAGGGGACUGUGAAGGAGAGGAGACUCCGGAGCCACGGAAGCAGCUCAAAAGAGGAGAGAGUCUGGCAUAACAGCAUCCAUGGGAGGUGUCUGGCUCUCCACAAACUCUCAAUGGACACACCUCAAAUAUCGGAUAACACAUUUUUAAAGCAUGGCAGGUUCCCCUAACCCAGCAAGAGCAACUCCAGAGAGGCCCAAUGAAGUUCUGGAUAAAAUCAUAGCUAACAUACACAUAAAUGUCCAUCGGGGCGAAUGGCUAAAUAACAAUGACUUCCAAGUACUAUGUAUUAGUGUCUUUAAAAAGAUGGUAGUUCUCCAUGUGAAGACAUAACCAAACUGGCUUUGGUGGCUCAAGCCUGUAAUCUCAGUUCAGAACACCGAGACAGGAGGACCAACGAGCUGGAAGCUGGCCUGGGCUACAUAGCAAAGAGAGGCCGGUGGGGGAGAACAGGAAGACAGCUGAGUCAGGAAAGUGCUUGCUGUGUAUAAGGACCCGAGUUCAAACCCUAGUGAUGUAGAAAAGCCAGGUGCACCAAUGCGUUCUUGAAAUCUGAGGAGGCAGAAAGUGUCCUGGGGUUUGGGGCCAGUCAGUCCAGCCAAACCAGCAAGCUCCGAGUUAGGUGAGAGAGAGACCCUGGCAGCCACGAGGUCGCAAAGUGUGGAAAUUGACUGAGGAAAACAUCCAACACUGAUCCCUGGUCUCUGCAUGCACUAGUACAUGUUCGUUUGUUCUCUCUCUCUCUCUCUCUCUCUCUCUCUCUCUCUCUCUCUCUCUCUCUUUCUCUCUCUCUCACUCUCUCUCUCUCCAUCCCUCCCUCCCUCCCUCCCUCUCUCCCUCCCUCCUUCCCUCCAGAAAAGCCAGAUUUUUUUCCCUAGGUAGAAUGUUGAAAGUCAAUGUACCCAAUAAUCAAUACUACAGAUGACUAUCGCCGUCCAUCUGCUACAUACUGUCAGACUGUAUACAGAAAGAGCUCUGCAGGGCCACAGCAACUGUGAUGCUAGCCUUGCGGAAGAGCUGGGCAUGUGGAGCUGCUAAGGAAAGCCUUAUUUGUCAACAUCCCACUUCUACAGCAAAUACAUGUUGUAUGAUCCUUAUGGGAUUAAAACUCAGCACAACGAAAUUUAAAAGACA